GGAAUAUUGGUCAAUGGGCGAGAGCCUGAACCAGCCAUGCCGCGUGCAGGAAGACGGCCUUCUGGGUUGUAAACUGCUUUUGUACGGGGGUAAAACGGACCUGCGGGUCAAAUUGCACGUACCGUACGAAUAAGCCCCGGCUAACUCCGUUCCAGCCGCCGCGGUAAUACGGAGGGUGCAAGCGUUGUCCGGAUUUAUUGGGUUUAAAGGGUGCGGAGGCGUCCCUACAAGUUUCCGGUGAAAUACUCGAGCUCAACUCGAGAACUGCCGGGAAAACUGUCGGGAUUGAGUGCAGAUGAGGUGGGCGGAAUUUAUGGUGUAGCGGUGAAAUGCAUAGAUACCAUAAAGAACACCGAUAGCGAAGGCAGCUCACUAAACUGUAACUGACGCUGAGGCACGAAAGCAUGGGGAGCGAAC
rnacentral:rRNA from 1 species